AUUGAACGCUGGCGGCAGGCUUAAUACAUGCAAGUCGAACGGUAACAGCAGAAAAGCUUGCUUUUUUGGCUGACGAGUGGCGGACGGGUGAGUAAUACCUAGGAAACUGCCUAAACGAGGGGGAUAACAUUUGGAAACGAGUGCUAAUACCGCAUAAUACUGAGAAGUCAAAGGUUGGUUUACCAAUCGCGUUUAGAUGUGCCUAGGAGGGAUUAGCUAGUUGGUGGGGUAAAGGCCUACCAAGGCGAUGAUCUCUAGCUGGUCUGAGAGGAUGACCAGCCACACUGGAACUGAGACACGGUCCAGACUCCUACGGGAGGCAGCAGUAGGGAAUAUUGCACAAUGGGGGGGAACCCUGAUGCAGCCAUGCCGCGUGUGUGAAGAAGGCC
rnacentral:rRNA from 1 species